rnacentral:tRNA from 1 species
GGUGCUGUGGCUUAGUUGGCUAAAGUGCCUGUCUAGUAAACAGGAGAUCCUGGGUUCAAAUCCCAGCAGUGCCU